rnacentral:SRP_RNA from 1 species
GCUGGGCAUGGUGACGCAUGCCUGUAAUCCCAGCACUUUGGGAGGCUGAGGUGGGUGGAUCACCUGAGGUCAGGAGUCCCAGACUAGCCUGACCAACAUGGAGAAACCCCAUCUCUA